rnacentral:piRNA from 1 species
UACCGGUUGAAUUUUUUUUUU